rnacentral:misc_RNA from 1 species
ACAAGACAUAUUGGGGAAGCCAGAACUCUUUGCCCGGGGAAAGCUUGUUAUGUUGAGGACGUGUAAUCAGUUGCUUCGUCGUCUAUCAAAGGCAAAUGAUGUUGUUUUCUGUGGGCGCAUUAUCAUGUUUCUAGCUCACUUCUUCCCCUUAUCUGAGCGUUCUGCUGUAAAUAUAAAGGGUGUUUUCAAUACAUCGAAUGAGACAAAGUAUGAGACAGAAGUUCCUGAUGGUAUUUCUAUUGAUUUCAACUUUUAUAGAACACUUUGGAGUCUACAGGAAUACUUCUGCAAUCCACCAUCCUUGAUUAAUGCUCCCGGCAAGUGGCACAAAUUUACAUCCAGUUUGACGCUUGUUCUAAACACUUUCG